rnacentral:tRNA from 1 species
GCCUGGCUGGCUCAGUCCGAAGAGCGUGUGACUCUUGAUCUCUGGGUCAUGAGUUCGAGCCCCAUGUUGGGUG